CAAUAGCGUAUAUUAAAGUUGUUGCAGUUAAAAAGCUCGUAGUUGGACUUCUGAUGUGGGACUGCGCCCCGGUAUUUUGCCGUUGGGUGCGGGCUCGCGUCUUCCUCUCGUAGUUGGAUGGUGCACUUAACUGGGUGCCUUCUGAAUAUGGGACCUUUACUUUGAAAAAAUUAGAGUGUUCAAAGCAGGCAAUCGCUUGAAUACAUUAGCAUGGAAUAAUAAUAUAGGACUUCGGCCCUAUUUUGUUGGUUUCUAGAGCUGAAGUAAUGAUUAAUAGGGACACUUGGGGGCAUUCGUAUUAUCACGUCAGAGGUGGAAUUCUUGGAUUGUGUUACGACGAACUACUGCGAAAGCAUUUGCCAAGGAUGUUUUCAUUGAUCAAGAACGAAAGAUAGGGGAUCGAAGACGAUUAGAUACCGU
rnacentral:rRNA from 1 species